rnacentral:rRNA from 1 species
UGGGGAAUAUUGCACAAUGGGCGCAAGCCUGAUGCAGCCAUGCCGCGUGUAUGAAGAAGGCCUUCGGGUUGUAAAGUACUUUCAGCGGGGAGGAAGGGAGUAAAGUUAAUACCUUUGCUCAUUGACGUUACCCGCAGAAGAAGCACCUGCUAACUCCGUGCCAGCAGCCGCGGUAAUACGGAGGGUGCAAGCGUUAAUCGGAAUUACUGGGCGUAAAGCGCACGCAGGCGGUUUGUUAAGUCAGAUGUGAAAUCCCCGGGCUCAACCUGGGAACUGCAUCUGAUACUGGCAAGCUUGAGUCUCGUAGAGGGGGGUAGAAUUCCAGGUGUAGCGGUGAAAUGCGUAGAGAUCUGGAGGAAUACCGGUGGCGAAGGCGGCCCCCUAGACGAAGACUGACGCUCAGGUGCGAAAGCGUGGGGAGCAAACAGG